GAUGAAGAACGUAGCGAAAUGCGAUAAGUAGUGUGAAUUGCAGAAUUCAGUGAAUCAUCGAAUCUUUGAACGCACAUUGCGCCCCUUGGUAUUCCAUGGGGCAUGCCUGUUCGAGCGUCAUUUGUACCUUCAAGCUUUGCUUGGUGUUGGGUGUUUGUCUCGCCUUUGCGUGUAGACUCGCCUUAAAAUAAUUGGCAGCCGGCGUAUUGAUUUCGGAGCGCAGUACAUCUCGCGCUUUGCACUCAUCACGACAGCGUCCAAAAGUACAUUUUACACUCUUGACCUCGGAUCAGGUAGGGAUACCCGCUGAACUUAAGCAUAUCAAUAAGCGGAGGA
rnacentral:misc_RNA from 1 species